rnacentral:rRNA from 1 species
UACGGAGGGUGCAAGCGUUGUUCGGAAUUACUGGGCGUAAAGCGCACGUAGGCGGGUCUGUAUGUCGAUUGUGAAAUCCCCGGGCUUAACCUGGGAAUUGCAGUCGAAACUGCAGAUCUUGAAUGUUUGAGAGGAUGGCGGAAUUCCUGGUGUAGUAGUGAAAUACGUAGAUAUCAGGAAGAACACCCGAGGCGAAGGCGGCUAUCUGGUGAUACAUUGACGCUGAGGUGCGAAAGCGUGGGGAGCAAACAGG